rnacentral:rRNA from 1 species
UCGCUGCCUGCGGAAGGAUCAUUAUCGAGUUCUUGAAGUGGGUCUUCGAGCUGGCGUUUUUCGCAAGUGCUCGGACCCCGCUCCAAUCCACUCAACACCUGUGCACUCUCGGAGGACCCGUCUGGGGGCCAUUGUCUAAUGGACCCCGUCGGCCUCCGUCUCAUCACAAACACACUAUGUAUUGUCUUGUAGAACGUGUUGAAGCCUUACGGGGCGUCUAACAAUGUUAAUACAACUUUCAACAACGGAUCUCUUGGCUCUCGCAUCGAUGAAGAACGCAGCGAAAUGCGAUAAGUAAUGUGAAUUGCAGAAUUCAGUGAAUCAUCGAAUCUUUGAACGCACCUUGCGCUCCUUGGUAUUCCGAGGAGCAUGCCUGUUUGAGUGUCAUGAAAUCUUCAACCUCGCCGGCUUUGUUGCUCGGUUUGUAGGCUUGGACUUGGGGAAUGUAAUGUGCGGGCCCUUUGGCGGGUCGGCUUCCCUUGAAUGCAUUAGUCGGAUGUUAGUCUCCGCCCGAACGGUGUGAUAAACGUCAUUCACUGAUCGGCGGUGGCGGUGAUUCGGCUUCUAAUGGUCGCCUUCGCGUGACAGAUCUCAUUGACUCAUCUGACCUCAAAUCAGGUAGGACUACCCGCUGAACUUAAGCAUAUCAAUAAGGCGGAGGA